rnacentral:sRNA from 1 species
AUUCACACCGACAGCUUGCCGCCUCAGUCAGUCAAUAAAUUUUCAGGUAAGUUAAUAAAAAUAAAUCACAGGGACGACCACAAUGAACAAGGGCGACUGAGAAAACAGCAUACAAAGAAACAGCAGGGCACGAAAGGCACAAAAAGAUAACUACAUACAACAAAAACAAAACAAAUCGGACAGGAAAAGCAGCACUCAUCAGGAAUAGCUAACAAAGAACACACAAAACAGCCACGACACACGGGAGCAAAAAAAAAAAUUGCACCGGGACAAAAUACAAAACUCACACCGACAGCUUGCCGCCUCAGUCAGUCAAUAAAUUUUCAGGUAAGUUAAUAAAAAUAAAUCACAGGGACGACCACAAUGAACAAGGGCGACUGAGAAAACAGCAUACAAA